AUUGAACGCUGGCGGCAGGCCUAACACAUGCAAGUCGAGCGAGCGGCGGACGGGUGAGUAAUGUCUGGGAAACUGCCUGAUGGAGGGGGAUAACUACUGGAAACGGUAGCUAAUACCGCAUACCAUCAGAUGUGCCCAGAUGGGAUUAGCUAGUAGGUGGGGUAACGGCUCACCUAGGCGACGAUCCCUAGAUGGUCUGAGAGGAUGACCAGCCAAACUGGGACUGAGACACAAUCGAGACUCCUACGAGAGGCAGCAGGGGGGAAUAUUGCACAAUGGGCGCAAGCCAGAUACAGCCAUGCCGCGUAUGUGAGAAUGGCCUUCGGGUUGUAGAGCGCAUUCAGAGGGGAGACGUUGCCCGCAGAGAAAGCACCGGCUAACUCCGUGCCAGCAGCCGCGGUAAUUC
rnacentral:rRNA from 1 species